rnacentral:rRNA from 1 species
CAUGUCUUUUUGUUAAUGAUUUAAAGUCUAGCCUGCUCGAUGAGUUUUAAAUUGCCGCAGUAUUUUGACUGUGCAAAGGUAGCAUAAUAAUUAGUUUCUUAAUUAGAAGCUUGUAUGAAUGGUUGGACAAGAAAGUUUCUGUCUCUAUUUUAUUUUUAUUGAAUUUUAUUUUUGAGUUAAAAAGCUUAAAUUUUUUUAAAAGACGAGAAGACCCUAUAGAGUUUUAUUAUUUUAUUUUUAUUAAUUUUUAGUAAUUUAAUUUUUUAAUAUAAUUUGGUUGGGGUGAUUCGGAUAUUAGCUUAAUUUUCUGAUUAUUAAAUUGUUAAUUUUCAAAUUUAUAUUCUGUAUUUUCAAGUUUAAAUAAAUUACCUUAGGGAUAACAGCGUAAUUUUUCUUUAAAGUUCUUAUUAAAAGGAGAGUUUGCGACCUCGAUGUUGGAUUAAAAUAAAUUUUUGGUGCAGUAACUUAGGGAUUAGGUCUGUUCGACCUUUAAAAUU